GACGUAGGGGGCGAGCGUUGUUCGGAAUCACUGGGCGUAAAGGGCAUGUAGGCGGCCCUGUAAGUCCGGCGUGGAAGCCCACGGCUCAACCGUGGGAUUGCGCUGGAAACUGCGGGGCUCGAAUCAUGGAGAGGGAGCUAGAAUUCCAGGUGUAGGGGUGAAAUCUGUAGAGAUCUGGAAGAAUACCAGUGGCGAAGGCGAGCUCCUGGCCAAUGAUUGACGCUGAGGUGCGAAAGUGUGGGGAUCAAACAGG
rnacentral:rRNA from 1 species